AACUCCUGCAUCCUGGAGACCUACAAUGAGAGACACAGCUGACCUUGACCAUAUUUCUUACUUCUCAGAAGACUGUAGCAGUAAUUCAGGUCAGAGAGGUUAAUCCUAAGAACAGUUACAUAAGCUUGGAAGGAGACCUUUCCCCAGAUGGGCCAUAGCCUGGGCCAUCACCUACAUCUGGACUGAAGAACCAGAGAAACUGCUCCAUCAGGAAUCGUUUGGGACCGUGGGUUCUGUUGACACUCACAUUGUGUAAUUAUGUUGCCCACUGCCAACCCUAAAGCCACCAAGGUAGCAGGAUUCCGCCCAGGACACCACA
rnacentral:lncRNA from 10 species